rnacentral:rRNA from 1 species
CCCCAAGAGUCCACAUCGACGGGGAGGUUUGGCACCUCGAUGUCGGCUCAUCGCAUCCUGGGGCUGUAGUCGGUCCCAAGGGUUGGGCUGUUCGCCCAUUAAAGCGGUACGCGAGCUGGGUUCAGAACGUCGUGAGACAGUUCGGUCCCUAUCCGUCGCGGGCGUAGGAAAUUUGAGAGGAGCUGCCCUUAGUACGAGAGGACCGGGGUGGACGUACCUCUGGUGUAUCAGUUGUUCCGCCAGGAGCAUCGCUGAGUAGCUAUGUACGGAUGAGAUAAACGCUGAAAGCAUCUAAGUGUGAAACUCGCCUCGAGAUGAGAUUUCCCAUUCUUUAUGAAGUAAGACCCCUCAGAGAUGAUGAGGUAGAUAGGCUAGAAGUGGAAGUGCGGCGACGCAUGGAGCGGACUAGUACUAAUGGUUCGAGGACUUAACCAAGUU